GCCUGGGUGGCUCAGUCGGUUGAGCGUCUGACUUCAGCUCAGGUCAGAUCAGAACCUGAUCUCAGGUUCGUGGGUUCCAGCCCCACAUCGGGCU
rnacentral:tRNA from 1 species